rnacentral:rRNA from 1 species
UACAGAGGGGGCAAGCGUUGUUCGGAAUUACUGGGCGUAAAGGGCGCGUAGGCGGCCUCUUAAGUCGAACGUGAAAUCCCCGGGCUCAACCCGGGAACUGCGUCCGAUACUGGGAGGCUUGAAUCCGGGAGAGGGAUGUGGAAUUCCAGGUGUAGCGGUGAAAUGCGUAGAUAUCUGGAGGAACACCGGUGGCGAAGGCGGCAUCCUGGACCGGUAUCGACGCUGAGACGCGAAAGCGUGGG